AACGAACGCUGGCGGCAGGCCUAACACAUGCAAGUCGAGCGGACCCUUCGGGGUUAGCGGCGGACGGGUGAGUAACGCGUGGGAAUAUGCCCUUCUCUACGGAAUAGUCCUGGGAAACUGGGGGUAAUACCGUAUACGCCCUUUGGGGGAAAGAUUUAUCGGGGAAGGAUUAGCCCGCGUUGGAUUAGGUAGUUGGUGGGGUAAUGGCCUACCAAGCCGACGAUCCAUAGCUGGUUUGAGAGGAUGAUCAGCCACACUGAGACUGAGACACGGCCCAGACUCCUACGGGAGGCAGCAGUGGGGAAUCUUAGACAAUGGGGGCAACCCUGAUCGAGCCAUGCCGCGUGAGUGAUGAAGGCCUUAGGGUUGUAAAGCUCUUUCAGCUGGGAAGAUAAUGACGGUACCAGCAGAAGAAGCCCCGGCUAACUCCGUG
rnacentral:rRNA from 1 species